AUCCGCACCACCUCAUCGCCUGGACGACCCUCACCGCGAUGACCUCCCUCCUGAACUCGGUCCUCGGAGUCGUCGUCAUCUACAAGAAGGUCAGCGUCGCCUGGGGCACCGUGCUCGUCGUGGCCUCCGUCGUCAACUUCGUGGUCGUGUCCUUCGUGCAGGCCGUGGUCUACGACAUGAUGCGAGGUUCCGACUAAACGUUAACCCAUCAACAAACUAUCAACCGGGAGUUAAUUUGAUGAUUCACUAGUAAUCAUCAAAAUUAUUGAAAAAAAAAAAAAAAUCUUCUUUGACAAUUAAGAAUAUGUGUAGAAUGCAGAAUACAGAAUGUAGAAUGAGCAUAAAACAUCUUAAGAAUAA